UUCAUUUAAAGAGUGCGUAACAGCUCACUAGUCGAGCGGACGAGCAUGGAUAAUAAUCGGGCAUAAGCAUAUUACCGAAGCUAUGGAUUUUCCGCUUAUGCGGAAAGUGGUAGGGGAGCAUUCUAAACUGGGUCGAAGGUGUGAUGUGAGUCAUGCUGGACUGUUUAGAAAAGAAAAUGUAGGCAUAAGUAACGAUAAUGCGGGCGAGAAACCCGCACACCGAAAAACUAAGGUUUCCGCAGCUAUGCUAAUCAGCUGCGGGUUAGUCGGGUCCUAAGGCGAACCCGAAAGGGACAGUCGAUGGCCAACGGGUUAAUAUUCCCGUACUACUUAUAAUUGUGAUGGAGAGACGCAGUGGUGAAAGUACCGCGAACUGACGGAAUAGUUCGUUGAAGGUUGUAGCUAUAUUUCAGAUAGGCAAAUCCGUUUGAAAUGGUAAAGACUGAUAGUACUCGGAGUCUUCGGACAAAGAGAUAGUGUACCUAAAGGCUGCCAAGAAAAUCUUCUAAACUUAGAUUAUAAGUACCCGUACCGUAAACCGACACAGGUAGUUGAGGAGAGAAUCCUAAGGUGCUCGAGAGAUUCAUGGCUAAGGAAUUAGGCAAAAUAGACCUGUAACUUCGGGAGAAAGGUCGCCCCGAGCAAUCGGGGCCGCAGUGAAAAGAUCCAGGCGACUGUUUAUCAAAAACACAGGGCUCUGCAAAAUCGUAAGAUGAAGUAUAGGGCCUGACACCUGCCCGGUGCUUGAAGGUUAAGUGGAGAUGUUAUCUUCGGAGAAGCAUUGAAAUGAAGCCCAAGUAAACGGCGGCCGUAACAAUAACGGUCCUAAGGUAGCGAAAUUCCUUGUCGGGUAAGUUCCGACCUGCACGAAUGGUGUAAUGAUCUGGGCACUGUCUCAGCCACGAGCUCGGUGAAAUUGAAGCAUCGGUGAAGAUACCGAUUACCCGCAACGGGACGGAAAGACCCCGUGAACCUUUACUAUAGCUUCACGUUGAGCUUGGAUUCAAGAUGUGUAGGAUAGGUGGGAGACUAAGAAGUUGUUACGCUAGUAAUGAUGGAGUCGCCGUUGAAAUACCACCCUUUUUGCAUUUAGGUUCUAACUUCGUAAAGAAGGACAUCGUGUGGUGGGUAGUUUGACUGGGGUGGUCGCCUCCCAAAAAGUAACGGAGGCUCGCAAAGGUUCCCUCAGCAUGGUUGGUAAUCAUGCGCAGAGCGUAUUAGUAUAAGGGAGCUUGACUGAGAGAGCGACGGCUCGAACAGGGUCGAAAGACGGCUAAAGUGAUCCGGUGGUUCCGCAUGGAAGGGCCAUCGCUCAAAGGAUAAAAGGUACGCCGGGGAUAACAGGCUGAUCUCCCCCAAGAGCUCAUAUCGACGGGGAGGUUUGGCACCUCGAUGUCGGCUCGUCUCAUCCUGGGGCUGUAGCCGGUCCCAAGGGUAUGGCUGUUCGCCAUUUAAAGUGGCACGCGAGCUGGGUUCAGAACGUCGUGAGACAGUUCGGUCUCUAUCUACUGUGGGCGUUAGAAAUUUGAGUGGAUCUGAUUCUAGUACGAGAGGACCGAAUUGGACUAACCGCUGGUGUAUCUGUUGUUCCGCCAGGAGCACCGCAGAGUAGCUACGUUGGGAAGGGAUAAGCGCUGAAAGCAUAUAAGCGCGAAACCCACCACAAGAUGAGAUUUCUUCUAGGACCCUUAAAAGAAAUCUCAUCUUGUGGUGGGUUUCGCGCUU
rnacentral:rRNA from 1 species